GAUGAACGCUGGCGGCGUGCCUAAUACAUGCAAGUCGAGCGAACGGACGAGAAGCUUGCUCCUCUGAUGUUAGCGGCGGACGGGUGAGUAACACGUGGAUAACCUACCUAUAAGACUGGGAUAACUUCGGGAAACCGGAGCUAAUACCGGAUAAUAUUUUGAACCGCAUGGUUCAAAAGUGAAAGACGGUCUUGCUGUCACUUAUAGAUGGAUCCGCGCUGCAUUAGCUAGUUGGUAAGGUAACGGCUUACCAAGGCAACGAUGCAUAGCCGACCUGAGAGGGUGAUCGGCCACACUGGAACUGAGACACGGUCCAGACUCCUACGGGAGGCAGCAGUAGGGAAUCUUCCGCAAUGGGCGAAAGCCUGACGGAGCAACGCCGCGUGAGUGAUGAAGGUCUUCGGAUCGUAAAACUCUGUUAUUAGGGAAGAACAUAUGUGUAAGUAACUAUGCACAUCUUGACGGUACCUAAUCAGAAAGCCACGGCUAACUACGUG
rnacentral:rRNA from 1 species